rnacentral:lncRNA from 1 species
UUUAAGAAUGGAGAGGUGCAGCUACUAAUACCUGAAUCAAAAGCUGUGGAAACGAGAAUUUUUAUGUUACAGAGCAGCACGCAGAAAGCGGAGGAGGAGAUUACUGCUGACGUAGAAGAUGCAGUAGUGCCCUUGGUAUGGGCUAGUGGAAUUCCAGGUCAGUCUAAAUUGGUGAAACCAGUGGAGGUGGUUCUAAAAUCUGGGACUAAACCGCAUUGUGGUGUUUGUGGUGGUGAUCUGCAGGGAUGAGCUCCUCUUGCUGGCUGGAGUAUGGCUGCACUGACAAGGAGUUGGUSCCCACCUGAGGCUGGAGCAGGACUGCAGGUGUGCCAGGGUAAUUCUGCUUCUAUCUGGGUAACUUUU